rnacentral:rRNA from 1 species
GAUGAACGCUGGCGGCGUGCCUAAUACAUGCAAGUCGAGCGAACAGAUGAGGAGCUUGCUCCUCUGACGUUAGCGGCGGACGGGUGAGUAACACGUGGAUAACCUACCUAUAAGACUGGGAUAACUUCGGGAAACCGGAGCUAAUACCGGAUAAUAUAUUGAACCGCAUGGUUCAAUAGUGAAAGACGGUUUUGCUGUCACUUAUAGAUGGAUCCGCGCCGCAUUAGCUAGUUGGUAAGGUAACGGCUUACCAAGGCAACGAUGCGUAGCCGACCUGAGAGGGUGAUCGGCCACACUGGAACUGAGACACGGUCCAGACUCCUACGGGAGGCAGCAGUAGGGAAUCUUCCGCAAUGGGCGAAAGCCUGACGGAGCAACGCCGCGUGAGUGAUGAAGGUCUUCGGAUCGUAAAACUCUGUUAUCAGGGAAGAACAAACGUGUAAGUAACUGUGCACGUCUUGACGGUACCUGAUCAGAAAGCCACGGCUAACUACGUG